rnacentral:rRNA from 1 species
AGGGCUUUUUCUAGUACGAAAGGACCGAAAAAGCAUGGCCAAUGAUCAAUUAAGCCAUUUAAAUUACUCAUGUUUUCAACUCAAUUAGAAACAAACCUACCAUAAACCUCAAAAAAAGAGAA